AUAUUCUGAAAAUGGUUUAACAAAAAUAAUAAUAAUUUGUAAUAAAUAAUUAUUCUUGGUAUUUUCAAGUGCCCACGAUAACGAUAUCGUGCAUAUUCAUUAUCGUGAUAUAUCGCAUUACCGAAU